rnacentral:rRNA from 1 species
UACGGAGGGUGCAAGCGUUAUCCGGAUUCACUGGGUUUAAAGGGUGCGUAGGAGGGCGGGUAAGUCAGUGGUGAAAUCUCCAAGCUUAACUUGGAAACUGCCGUUGAUACUAUCUGUCUUGAAUGUUGUGGAGGUGAGCGGAAUAUGUCAUGUAGCGGUGAAAUGCUUAGAUAUGACAUAGAACACCAAUUGCGAAGGCAGCUCACUACACAAUUAUUGACUCUGAGGCACGAAAGCGUGGGGAUCAAACAGG